ensembl:lncRNA
CAUGUAACAUGAUUAUACACAUACAUAAUGUUCAGGGUCAUUGUGUCAGGUGAAGUAAUUAUUCAGGUUCUACUCUCUCUUAUUCUUGCAUGAGGUCACUGAAAUUGGGACAGGGUCAUUGGAGUAGGAAAUAACAAACUCUUCUCCAUGGCCUUCAUAAAGGAAGACUUUAUUUUAGUGGGUAGACAAACUUUUGGAAGAAUGUUUGGAAAGUGGAUAACCAGAGCAAAUGGUUGCCAACCACCUCUCUAUGUCCCCAGAGAGAAGGCAUUUAGAUGGCUUUUAUUAUGUCUCACUGGAGCAGCUUAAAAGCCUGUGACCCUAGGUAAGGCUAGAGGUUCCUUAGAAGUUUGUCCUAUCAAUAGGUAUAUAUUUCCUUGAUGAUUCACAGUCUGCUAUUUAUCUCUAAGAAAUCUCCAGGAAUACCGGUUAAAAGAAUCUGAUUCCCUUAGGCCUAAGAAAUUGAUUUGGCAACUCAAAUUCCUAAUCCCAGUGCAAAUUCCUCUGCUGAGAUGCCUAUGAAAACUUCAGUUAAUCAUCUCUCUGGUUUCAACAGUGAAUUCCAUUGCCAAAAGACUGUGUAAGCAGGGCUCCUCCCCUCGCUUCAUUGGCAGUUCUACAGUUCAGCUUUACCCAGGUAGCUCCUGGGACAUGGAGAAGCUGCUAAGUUGGAUUGCCUCUAGUGUGUCCUUUCCCUUAAACAUAGAUGGAGCCCUCAACAUUAUCUCUUCUAUACCCUAGGAAAGUCUGUAUGACUUUAAAAUAGUCUGUGAAAGUCUAUAUUCUUUCCUAUCCUCAAAAGCUACACCAUUGGCCUAAUCAUAAUAUAAUUGAUUAAAUACUCUUAAAUUAUAUCUACACAUUUAAUUUUAACAACUUAUAGUCACAUUUUACUAUUUUUAUUAGUCAUCAAUUAAUGUUCUUAUUUUUUGUGUGGAAUUCUCUUACUCUUGUAUAUUAUAAAAAAUAAAUUACUAGAAGGGGCCAGGAUUUAGCUCAGUGGUGCCACCACCUGCCCCCCAAGCUCAAGGUCCUGAGUUCAAUCCCUGGUACAAAACAAAACAAAACAAAACAAACAAAUAAAUAAAUAAACUACUAGAAUUCUUGAGGACUUUAUAAAAGGUUCUUUCAUGUAUGUGUACCUUAUUUUACACAUUGAGUCUGAUUCUUUAUUAAUUCCAUUACCUAUAUAGGGUUUACUCUCAAGAACUUAUGUUGGUAUCAUGUAUGCACGUCUUGUUCAUUAUGUGUAUAUGUGCCCAUAUACAUAUGUUUAUAUACUAUAAUGAACAAAUAUAUGUAUUUUAAAUAAUGUAUGUUAAAUAAUAAAUAAAAUGUAUGUAUAUACUUUCUG